rnacentral:rRNA from 1 species
UGACUNGAGUGCAGAAGGGGAGAGUGGAAUUCCAUGUGUAGCGGUGAAAUGCGUAGAUAUAUGGAGGAACACCAGUGGCAAAAGCGGCUCUCUGNUCUGUCACUGACGCUGAGGCUCGAAAGCGUGGGUAGCGANCAGGAUUAGAUACCCUGGUAGUNCACGCCGUAAACGAUGAGUGCUAGGUGUUAGGCCCUUUCCGGGGCUUAGUGCCGGAGCUAACGCAAUAAGCACUCCGCCUGGGGAGUACGACCGCAAGGUUGAAACUCAAAGGAAUUGACGGGGGCCCGCACAAGCGGUGGAGCAUGUGGUUUAAUUCGAAGCAACGCGAAGAACCUUACCAGGUCCUGACAUCCCGAUGCUAUUCUUAGAGAUAGGAAGUUACUUCGGUACAUCGGAGACAGGUGGUGCAUGGUUGUCGUCAGCUCGUGUCGUGAGAUGUUGGGUUAAGUCCCGCAACGAGCGCAACCCUUAUUGUUAGUUGCCAUCAUUAAGUUGGGCACUCUAGCGAGACUGCCGGUAAUAAACCGGAGGAAGGUGGGGAUGACGUCAAAUCAUCAUGCCCCUUAUGACCUGGGCUACACACGUGCUACAAUGGUCGGUACAACGAGUUGCGAGCCGGUGACGGCAAGCUAAUCUCUGAAAGCCGAUCUCAGUUCGGAUUGGAGGCUGCAACUCGCCUCCAUGAAGUCGGAAUCGCUAGUAAUCGCGGAUCAGCACGCCGCGGUGAACACGUUCCCGGGCCUUGUACACACCGCCCGUCACACCACGAGAGUUUGUAACACC